GCUGGGUGUGGUGGUGCACACCUAUAAUCCCAGAUACGCAGGAGGCUGAGGCAGGAGAAUUGCUUGAACCCAGGAGGCUGAGGUUGUAGUGAGCUGAGACCACACCACUGCACUCCAGCCUGGGUGACGAAGCAAGACUCUGUCUCAA
rnacentral:SRP_RNA from 1 species